AGGUGACAUCAGUCAUCCCAUUGAUCACCAGGACUGACUCAGCUGAUCCUGGCUGGCUAGGUGGGUGCCCUUUCCUCCCUCCCCAAGCUGCACUUGGUAGAAGAGGACAACCACCUCUGACAGAAGAGGACCUUCUCUUCAGCCAAGGGUAUAUGAGUAGCUGCACUCCACUGCUAGAACCUCCAAAAAGCUCUCAAGAAAAAGCAAAAUAAAAGAUAAUAGGAAGCAGGGAGAUCUUUUGCAAGAAGGAAGAUGUCUUGGUUACUU
rnacentral:snRNA from 1 species